AUUGAACGCUGGCGGCAGGCCUAACACAUGCAAGUCGAGCGGGGUUUUCGGACCUAGCGGCGGACGGGUGAGUAAUGCGUAGGAAGCUGCCCGAUAGAGGGGGAUACCAGUUGGAAACGACUGUUAAUACCGCAUAAUGUCUACGGACCAAAGUGUGGGACCUUCGGGCCACAUGCUAUCGGAUGCGCCUACGUGGGAUUAGCUAGUUGGUGAGGUAAUGGCUCACCAAGGCGACGAUCUCUAGCUGGUUUGAGAGGAUGAUCAGUCACACUGGAACUGAGACACGGUCCAGACGCCUACGGGAGGCAGCAGUGGGGAAUAUUGGACAAUGGGCGCAAGCCUGAUUCAGCCAUGCCGCGUGUGUGAAGAAGGCCUUCGGGUUGUAAAGCACUUUCAGCGAGGAGGAAGGGGUUGUAGUUAAUAGCUGCAACCUUUGACGUUACUCGCAGAAUAAGCACCGGCUAACUCUGUGCCAGCCGCCGCGGUAAGAC
rnacentral:rRNA from 1 species